GCCAUAGGCAAUGGGCUAAUCAUUUCUAGCCCCCGGCAUGCGAAGGGCCAGGAGGGUGGUAUAGUGAUUAACUUGUAGGCAGGGACGUGUUGUUGCGUAGUGAAGAAUUGACACCCUUGGUAUUGGCAGACUAGUUCUUCGGUAUCAGCGAGAGCUAUAGGCCAAUAGAACCCUAUCCUGAAAGCCUUGUCCAUGAUCAUUCGUGAGGAUGCAUGGUUGUCGUAGG
rnacentral:lncRNA from 1 species